UACGUAGGGGGCUAGCGUUGUCCGGAUUUAUUGGGCGUAAAGAGCGUGUAGGCGGCCAGGUAGGUCUGCUGUGAAAACUCGAGGCUCAACCUCGAGACGUCGGCGGAAACCAUCUGGCUAGAGUCCGGAAGAGGAGAGUGGAAUUCCUGGUGUAGCGGUGAAAUGCGCAGAUAUCAGGAAGAACACCCGUGGCGAAGGCGGCUCACUGGUCCGAUACUGACGCUGAGGUGCGAAAGCGUGGGGAGCAAACAGG
rnacentral:rRNA from 1 species